rnacentral:misc_RNA from 1 species
AACUGCGAUAAGUAAUGUGAAUUGCAGAAUUCAGUGAAUCAUCGAGUCUUUGAACGCACAUUGCGCCCCCUGGCAUUCCGGGGGGCAUGUCUGUCCGAGCGUCAUUGCUGCCCUUCAAGCCCGGCUUGUGUGUUGGGUCGUCGUCCCCUCCGGGGGACGGGCCCGAAAGGCAGCGGCGGCACCGCGUCCGGUCCUCGAGCGUAUGGGGCUUUGUCACCCGCUCGAUAAGGACCGGCCGGGCGCCAGCCGGCGUCUCCAACCUUUUUUUCUCAGGUUGACCUCGGAUCAGGUAGGGAUACCCGCUGAACUUAAGC